UACGUAGGGUGCGAGCGUUGUCCGGAAUUACUGGGCGUAAAGAGCUCGUAGGUGGUUUGUCGCGUUGUCCGUGAAAACUCACAACUCAAUUGUGGGCGUGCGGGCGAUACGGGCAGACUGGAGUACUGCAGGGGAGACUGGAAUUCCUGGUGUAGCGGUGGAAUGCGCAGAUAUCAGGAGGAACACCGGUGGCGAAGGCGGGUCUCUGGGCCACUACUGACGCUGAGAAGCGAAAGCGUGGGGAGCGAACAGG
rnacentral:rRNA from 1 species